AGAGUUUGAUUCUGGCUCAGGAUGAACGCUGGCGGCGUGCCUAACACAUGCAAGUCGAGCGAUUACUUCGGUAAAGAGCGGCGGACGGGUGAGUAACGCGUGGGUAACCUGCCUCAUACACAUGGAUAACAUACCGAAAGGUAUGCUAAUACAGGAUAAUAUAAGAGAUUCACAUGGAUUUCUUAUCAAAGCUCCGGCGGUAUGAGAUGGACCCGCGUCUGAUUAGCUAGUUGGUAAGGUAAUGGCUUACCAAGGCGACGAUCAGUAGCCGACCUGAGAGGGUGAUCGGCCACAUUGGAACUGAGACACGGUCCAAACUCCUACGGGAGGCAGCAGUGGGGAAUAUUGCACAAUGGGCGAAAGCCUGAUGCCAGCAACGCCGCGUGAGUGAUGAAGGCCUUCGGGUCGUAAAACUCUGUCCUCAAGGAAGAUAAUGACGGUACUUGAGGAGGAAGCCCCGGCUAACUACGUGCCAGCCGCUGC
rnacentral:rRNA from 1 species